CCUGGAACUCACUCUGUAGACCAGGCUGGCCUCGAACUCACAGAGAUCUGCUUGCCUCUGUUUCCUGAGUGCUGGGA
ensembl:miRNA Gm23872 predicted gene, 23872